rnacentral:rRNA from 1 species
UUCUGGGAGGAUUGACAGAUUGAGAGCUCUUCCUUGAUUCGGUGGAUGGUGGUGCAUGUCCGUUCUUAGUUGGUGGAGCGAUUUGUCCGGUUAAUUCGAAUAACGAACGAGACUCUAGCCUAUUAAAUAGGUGCGUGGUUCUCUGCACCUUGAACCCUUCUUAGAGGGACAAGCGGCUCCUAUACUUCAUCUCACCUUAGCACGGACUAACUGCGAAGGCUGAGCAAGCGCGAGCGGCUAGCUUCGACUGCCUUGACUGGAGCACUCGCUGCACGAGCGCUCGUGCAGUCGCCGAGGCUUCAUCCAAAGCAACUAGCUCGGGCUUUUGGCACGCGCGGCUAACAAUAGUCCAUGCUAGGGUGAGACGAAGUAUAGCCGCACGAAACAGAGCAAUAACAGGUCUGUGAUGCCCUUA